GAUGAAGAACGCAGCGAAAUGCGAUAACUAAUGUGAAUUGCAGAAUUCAGUGAAUCAUCGAGUCUUUGAACGCACAUUGCGCCCUCUGGUAUUCCGGAGGGCAUGCCUGUCCGAGCGUCAUUGCUGCCCUCCAGCCCGGCUGGUGUGUUGGGCCCCGUCCCCCUUCCCGGGGGGACGGGCCCGAAAGGCAGCGGCGGCACCGCGUCCGGUCCUCGAGCGUAUGGGGCUUUGUCACCCGCUCUUGUAGGCCCGGCCGGCGCCAGCCGACCCCCUCAAUCUAUUUUUCAGGUUGACCUCGGAUCAGGUAGGGAUACCCGCUGAACUUAAGCUUAUCAAUAAGCGGAGGA
rnacentral:misc_RNA from 1 species